GACGAACGCUGGCGGCGUGCUUAACACAUGCAAGUCGAACGGGUCUGCCUUGUUUUUUGCGGCUUGGGUUAGUGGCGAACGGGUGAGUAACACGUGAGUAACCUGCCCCUCACUUCUGGAUAACCGCUUGAAAGGGUGGCUAAUACGGGGUGUUCUGGCUGUGCCGCAUGGUGUGGCUGGGAAAGAUUCACUUUUGUGGUGUUUUGGUGGGGGAUGGGCUCGCGGCCUAUCAGCUUGUUGGUGGGGUGAUGGCCUGCCAAGGCUUUGACGGGUAGCCGGCCUGAGAGGGUGGGCGGUCACACUGGGACUGAGAUACGGCCCAGACUCCUGCGGGAGGCAGCAGUGGGGGGUAUUGCACAAUGGGCGGAAGCCUGAUGCAGCGACGUCGCGUGAGGGAUGGGGGCCUUCGGGUUGUGAACCUCUUUCGCCGGUGAAGAAGGUCCUGUUCUUUGUGGUGGGG
rnacentral:rRNA from 1 species